UACGUAGGUGGCAAGCGUUGUCCGGAAUUACUGGGCGUAAAGAGCGCGCAGGCGGCUGAUCAAGUCCGAUGUGAAAGCUCCCGGCUUAACUGGGAAAUUGCAUCGGAAACUGAUCGGCUUGAAGGUGGGAGAGGGUAGUGGAAUUCCCGGUGUAGUGGUGAAAUGCGUAGAUAUCUGGAGGAACACCGGUGGCGAAGGCGGCAUCCUGGACCGGCAUUGACGCUGAGGAGCGAAAGCCAGGGGAGCAAACGGG
rnacentral:rRNA from 1 species